GGGCGACUAGCUCAGCUGGCUAGAGCAUCUCGUUUACACCGAGAAGGUCAUAGGUUCGAGUCCUAUGUCGCCCA
rnacentral:tRNA from 1 species